rnacentral:lncRNA from 1 species
GUCAGUGCACGUUAUCAUUCUUGUUAGUUCUAAGUGAAUUCCCUCGGUAUGAUAAUUUGUUCAUCAGUUUGUUCCCCGUUUCUUCUCUAGCCUGAGCCUGACACACUAUUCUAGCUAGACAUGGGUGUGGCUCGUAACACCUGAUGACCAAACGGAUCUACGACACCAUCGAAUCUCAAACUUUAACUACCAAAACUAUUGUUUUUCAUCCUCUAGUCCCUUUUAGAAUUACUAAACGUCCUUUUUUGGGCCGAGAUUUCCAGGAACGCUUUCUCGGGGUUUGUGUGCAUGUAUUUCAAACCAUACAGACCUAAAAAUUAGAAGUCAUUCCAUCUUUAUUCCCGUAGAGCCUUCCAGCAGUUCCUAAACCGCUCCAGUCGGAGCAUGUUAUCAUUCUUGUUUGUUCUGAGUGAAUUCCCUCGGUAUGAUAAUUCUAUCAUCAGUUUGUUCCCCGUUUCUUCUCUAGCCUGAGCCUGGCAAACUAUUCNNNNNNNNNNNNNNNNNNNNNNNNNNNNNNNNNNNNNNNNNNNNNNNNNNNNNNNNNNNNNNNNNNNNNNNNNNNNNNNNNNNNNNNNNNNNNNNNNNNNNNNNNNNNNNNNNNNNNNNNNNNNNNNNNNNNNNNNCUAAACCGCUCUAGUCGGAGCACGUUAUCAUUCUUGUUAGUUCUGAGUGAAUUCCCUCGGUAUGAUAAUUCUUUCAUCAGUUUGUUCCCUGUUUCUUCUCUAGCCUGAGCCUGACACACUAUUCUAGCUAGACAUGGGUGUGGCUCGUAACACCUAAUGACCAAACGGAUCGACGGCACCAUCGAAUCUCAAACUUUAACUGCCAAAACUAUUGUUUUUCAUCCUGUUGUCCCAUUUAGAAUUACUAAACGUCCUUUUUUGGGCCGAGAUUUAGAGGAACGCUUUCUCGGGGUUUGUGUGCAAGUAUUUCAAACCAUACGGACCUAAAAAUUAGAAGUCAUUCCAUCUUUAUUCCCCUAGAGCCUUCCAGCAGUUCCUAAACCGCUCAAGUCAGAGCAUGUUAUCAUUCUUGUUAGUUCUGAGUGAAUUCCCUCGGUAUGAUAAUUCUUUCAUCAGUUUGUUCCCUGUUUCUUCUCUAGCCUGAGCCUGACACACUAUUCUAGCUAGACAUGGGUGUGGCUCGUAACACCUGAUGACCAAACGGAUCUACGACACCAUUGAAUCUCAAACUUUAACUACCAAAACUAUUAUUUUUCAUCCUGUAGUCCCUUUUAGAAUUACUAAACGUCCUUUUUUGGGCCGAGAUUUCCAAGAACGCUUUCUCGUGGUUUGUGUGCAAGUAUUUCAAACCAUACAGACCUAAAAAUUAGAAGUCAUUCCAUCUUUAUGCCCGUAGAGCCUUCCAGCAGUUCCUAAACCGCUCCAGUCGGAGCACGUUAUCAUUCUUAUUAGUUCUGAGUGAAUUCCCUCAGUAUGAUAAUUCUUUCAUAAGUUUGUUCCCCAUUUCUUCUCUAGCCUGAGCCUGGCACACUAUUCUAGCUAGACAUGGGUGUGGCUCAUAACACUUGUUGACUAAAUGGAUCGACGGCACCAUCGAAUCUCAAACUUUAACUGCCAAAACUAUUGUUUUUCAUCCUGUAGUCCCAUUUAGAAUUAUUAAACGUCCUUUUUUGGGCCGAUAUUUAGAGUAAUGCUUUCUCGGGGUUUGUCUGCAAGUAUUUCAAACCAUACGGACCUAAAAAUUAGAAGUCAUUCCAUCUUUAUUCCCCUAGAGCCUUCCAGCAGUUCCUAAACCGCUCUAGUCGGAGCACGUUAUCAUUCUUGUUAGUUCUGAGUGAAUUCCCUCAGUAUGAUAAUUCUUUCAUCUGUUUGUUCCCCGUUUCUUCUCUAGCCUGAGCCUGACACACUAUUCAAGCUAGACAUGGAUGUGGCUCGUAACACCUGAUGACCAAACGGAUCUACGGCACCAUCGAAUCCCAAACUUUAACUGCCAAAACUAUUGUUUUUCAUCCUGUAGUCCCUUUUAGAAUUACUAAACGUCCUUUUUUGGGCCGAGAUUUCCAGGAAUGCUUUCUCGGGGUUUGUGUGCAAGUAUUUCAAACCAUACAAAGCUAGAAAUUAGAAGUCAUUCCAUCUUUAUUAUCGUAGAGCCUUCCAGCAGUUCCUAAACCGGUCUAGUCGGAGCACGUUAUCAUUCUAGUUAGUUCUGAGUGAAUUCCCUCGGUAUGAUAAUUCUUUCAUCAGUUUGUUCCCCGUUUCUUCUCUAGCCUGAGCCUGACAAACUAUUCUAGCUAGACAUGCGUGUGGCUCGUAACACCUGAUGACCAAACGGAUCUAUAGCACCAUCGAAUCUCAAACUUUAACUGCCAAAACUAUUGUUUUCAUCCUGUAGUCCCUUUUAGAAUUACUAAACUUCCUUUUUUGGGCCGAGAUUUAGAGGAACGCUUUCUGGGGUUUGUGUGCAAGUAUUUCAAACCAUACAGACCUAAAAAUUAGAAGUCAUUCCAUCUUUAUUCCCCUAGAGCCUUCCAGCAGUUCCUAAACCGCUCUAGUCGGAGCACGUUAUCAUUAUUGUUAGUUCUGAGUGAAUUCCCUCGGUAUGAUAAUUCUUUCAUCAGUUUGUUCCCUGUUUCUUCUCUAUCCUGAGCCUGACACACUAUUCUAGCUAGACAUGGGUGUGGCUCGUAACACCUGAUGACUAAAUGGAUCGACGGCACCAUCGAAUCUCAAACUUUAACUGCCAAAACUAUUGUUUUUCAUCCUGUAGUCCCAUUUAGAAUUAGUAAACGUCCUUUUUUGGGCCGAGAUUUAGAGGAACGCUUUCUCGGGGUUUGUGUGCAAGUAUUUCAAACCAUACGGACCUAAAAAUUAGAAGUCAUUCCAUCUUUAUUCCCCUAGUCAUCAGGUAUACACUCAAGUCGGAGCACGUUAUCAUUCUUGUUAGUUCUGAGUGAAUUCCCUCGGUAUGAUAAUUCUUUCAUAAAUUUGUUCCCCGUUUCUUAUAUGGCCUGAGCCUGACACACUAUUCUAGCUAGACAUGGGUGUGGCUCGUAACACCUGAUGACCAAACGGAUCUACGGCACCAUCAAAUCUCAAACUUUAACUGCCAAAACUAUUCUUUUUCAUUCUGUAGUCCCUUCUAGAAUUACUAAACGUCCUUUUUUGGGCCGAGAUUUCCAGGAACGCUUUCUCGGGGUUUGUGUGCAUGUAUUUCAAACCAUACAGACCUAAAAAUUAUAAGUCAUUCCAUCUUUAUUCCCGUAGAGCCUUCCAGUAGUUCCUAAACCGCUCCAGUCGGAGCAUGUUAUCAUUCUUGUUAGUUCUAAGUGAAUUCCCUCGGUAUGAUAAUUCUUUCAUCAGUUUGUUCCCCGUUUCUUCUCUAGCCUGAGCCUGGCACACUAGUCUAGCUAGACAUGGGUGUGGCUCGUAACACCCGAUGACUAAAUGGAUCGACGGCACCAUCGAAUCUCAAACUUUAACUGCCAAAACUAUUGUUUUUCAUCCUGUAGUCCCAUUUAGAAUUACUAAACGUCCUUUUUUGGGCCGAGAUUUAGAGGAACGCUUUCUCGUGGUUUGUGUGCAAGAAUUUCAAACCAUACGGACCUAAAAAUUAGAAGUCAUUCCAUCUUUAUUCCCCUAGAGCCUUCCAGUAGUUCCUAAACCGCUCUAGUCGGAGCACGUUAUCAUUCUUGUUAGUUCUGAGAGAAUUCCCUCGGUAUGAUAAUUCUUUUAUCAGUUUGUUCCCCGUUUCUUCUCUAGCCUGAGCCCGACACACUAUUCUAGCUAGACAUGGGUGUGGCUCGUAACACCUGAUGACCAAACGGAUCUACGGCACCAUCGAAUCUCAAACUUUAACUGCCAAAACUAUUGUUUUUCAUCCUGUAGUCCCUUUUAGAAUUACUAAAUGUCCUUUUUUGGGCCGAGAUUUCCAGGAACGCUUUCUCAGGGUUUGUGUGCAAGUAAUUCAAACCAUACGGACCUAAAAAUUAGAAGUCAUUCCAUCUUUAUUCCCCUAGAGCCUUCCAGCAGUUCCUAAACCGCUCAAGUCAGUGCACGUUAUCAUUCUUGUUAGUUCUAAGUGAAUUCCCUCGGUAUGAUAAUUUGUUCAUCAGUUUGUUCCCCGUUUCUUCUCUAGCCUGAGCCUGACACACUAUUCUAGCUAGACAUGGGUGUGGCUCGUAACACCUGAUGACCAAACGGAUCUACGACACCAUCGAAUCUCAAACUUUAACUACCAAAACUAUUGUUUUUCAUCCUCUAGUCCCUUUUAGAAUUACUAAACGUCCUUUUUUGGGCCGAGAUUUCCAGGAACGCUUUCUCGGGGUUUGUGUGCAUGUAUUUCAAACCAUACAGACCUAAAAAUUAGAAGUCAUUCCAUCUUUAUUCCCGUAGAGCCUUCCAGCAGUUCCUAAACCGCUCCAGUCGGAGCAUGUUAUCAUUCUUGUUUGUUCUGAGUGAAUUCCCUCGGUAUGAUAAUUCUAUCAUCAGUUUGUUCCCCGUUUCUUCUCUAGCCUGAGCCUGGCAAACUAUUCUAGCUAGACAUGGGUGUGGCUCGUAACACCUGAUGACCAAACGGAUCUACGACACCAUCGAAUCUCAAACUUUAACUACCAAAACUAUUGUUUUUCAUUCUAUAGUCCCUUCUAGAAUUUCUAAACGUCCUUUUUUGGGCCGAGAUUUCCAGGAAUGCUUUCUCGGGGUUUGUGUGCAAGUAUUUCAAAUCAUACGGACCUAAAAAUUAGAAGUCAUUCCAUCUUUAUUCCCCUAGAGCCUUCCAGUAGUUCCUAAACCGCUCCAGUCGGAGCACGUUAUCAUUCUUGUUAGUUCAUAGUGAAUUCCCUCGGUAUGAUAAUUCUUUCAUCAGUUUGUUCCCCGUUUCUUCUCUAGCCUGAGCCUGGCACAGUAUUCUAGCUAGACAUGGGUGUGGUCGUAACACCUGAUGACUAAAUGGAUCGACGGCACCAUCGAAUCUCAAACUUUAACUGCCAAAACUAUUGUUUUUCAUCCUGUAAUCCCAUUUAGAAUUACUAAACGUCCUUUUUUGGGCCGAGAUUUAGAGGAACGCUUUGUUGGGGUUUGUGUGCAAGUAUUUCAAACCAUACGGACCUAAAAAUUAGAACUCAUUCCAUAUUUAUUCCCCUUGAGCCUUCCAGCAGUUCCUAAACCGCUCUAGUCGGAGCACGUUAUCAUUCUUGUUAGUUCUAAGAGAAUUCCCUCGGUAUGAUAAUUCUUUUAUCAGUUUGUUCCCCGUUUCUUCUCUAGACUGGGCCCGACACACUAUUCUAGCUAGACAUGGGUGUGGCUCGUAACACCUGAUGACCAAACGGAUCUACGGCACCAUCGAAUCUCAAACUUCAACUGCCAAAACUAUUGUUUUUCAUCCUGUAGUCCCUUUUAGAAUUACUAAACGUCCUUUUUUGGGCCGAGAUUUCCAGGAACGCUUUCUCGGGGUUUGUGUGCAAGUAUUUCAAACCAUACGGACCUAAAAAUUAGAAGUCAUUCCAUCUUUAUUCCCGUAGAGCCAUCCAGCAGUUCCUAAACCGCUCCAGUCGGAGCACGUUAUCAUUCUUGUUAGUUCUGAGUGAAUUCCCUCGGUAUGAUAAUUCUUUCAUCAGUUUGUUCCCCGUUUCUUCUCUAGCCUGAGCCUGACAAACUAUUAUAGCUAGACAUGGGUGUGGCUCGUAACACCUGAUGACCAAACGGAUCUAUGGCACCAUCGAAUCUCAAACUUUAACUGCCAAAACUAUUGUUUUUCAUCCUGUAGUCCCUUUUAGAAUUACUAAACGCCCUUCUUUGGGACGAGAUUUCCAGGAACGCUUUCUCGGGGUUUGUGUGAAAGUAAUUCAAACCAUACGGACCUAAAAAUUAGAAGUCAUUCCAUCUUUAUUCCCGUGGAGCCUUCCAGUAGUUCCUAAACCGCUCCAGUCGGAGCACGUUAUCAUUCUUGUUAGUUCUGAGUGAAUUCCCUCGGUAUGAUAAUUCUUUCAUCAGUUUGUUCCCUGUUUCUUCUCUAGCCUGAGCCUGGCACACUAUUCUAGCUAGACAUGGGUGUGGCUCGUAACACCUGAUGACUAAACUGAUCAAUGACACCAUCGAAUCUCAAACUUUAACUGCCAAAACUAUUGUUUUUCAUCCUGUAGUCCCAUUUAGAAUUACUAAACGUCCUUUUUUGGGCCGAGAUUUCCAGGAACGCUUACUCGGGGUUUGUGUGCAAGUAUUUCAAACCAUACUGACCUAAAAAUUAGAAGUCAAUCCAUCUUUAUUCCCCUAGAGCCUUCCAGCAGUUCCUAAACCGCUCCAGUCGGAGCACGUUAUCAUUCUUGUUAGUUCUGAGUGAAUUCCCUCGGUAUGAUAAUUCUUUCAUCAGUUUGUUCCUUGUUUCUUCUCUAGCCUGAACCUGACACACUAUUCUAGCUAGACAUGGGUGUGGCUCGUAACACCUGAUGACCAAACGGAUCUACGGCACCAUCGAAUCUCAAACUUUAACUGCCAAAACUAUUAUUUUUAAUCCUCUAGUCCCAUUUAGAAUUACUAAACGUCCUUUUUUGGGCCGAGAUUUAGAGGAACGCUUUCAUGCGGUUUGUGUGCAAGUAUUUCAAACCAUACGGACCUAAAAAUUAGAAGUCAUUCCAUCUUUAUUCCCCUAGAGCCUUCCAGCAGUUCCUAAACCGCUCCAGUCGGAGCAUGUUAUCAUUCUUGUUAGUUCUGAGUGAAUUCCCUCGGUAUGAUAAUUCUUUCAUCAGUUUGUGGCCCGUUUCUUCUCUAGCCUGAGCCUGACACACUAUUCUAGCUAGACGUGGGUGUGGCUCGUAACACCUGAUGACCAAACGGAUCUACGGCACCAUCGAAUCUCAAACUUUAAGUGCCAAAACUAUUAUUUUUAAUCCUGUAGUCCCAUUUAGAAUUAC